UAUACAAAAUUUCUUUAUUAAACAAAGUUUCCUUAUUUUCAAAAAAGGAAACUACAUUUUUUGAAUUUUUCUUUUCACAGCCACCCAUUACCACGAAAUUUGUCAAUAAAAAAUAUCACAAAAUAUUCUUUAAUCAGUUGGCAAAACGUCUCAAAGUCUAAAAAAGGAAAAAUAUAUUUUAUUUAAAGAAAAAUCUUCUUAUAAAUAAAAUAACAUUUUCUCAAUGAAUAUCAACAUAUACGGACGAAAUAUCAACAUAUAUGGAUGAAAUUUCAAGUCAAAAAAUUAUCAUAAAUGAUUUCUAGAAUAUUAAGACUUAAGAAACAAAUCUGGAAAAAUCAAGUUGUCGCGACAGAUCAUAAACUUAUCGGGGCAACUGCUUCAAACUUGUCAUAAAACACUUUUGAGUUAUAAAAUAUAUAGUCUAUUUAAGAUAGCCAAUUUAAGGUUUUACAAUUUCCUUCUUUGGCAUCUUUUUAGGCAAAAAUCUCUUAUUUAUCUCACUCAAAAGUGUGUGCAAAACACAUAUUAGUUGAAGCAUAGAGUUUACUCAAAACUCCCCCUGCACAAGAGAUAACAAAAAAAUAGGGCACAGAAUAAAAAAAAAUGUUACAAACUCGAUCAAUUAGCACAAGAACAAGGAACUUUUUAUACUCCCUAAAUAAUUCUUCUCUUCUUUUUUGUCUAUCGAAAGAGCCAAAGGAACACCAUUAGGGGCCAAACACACUUCCAUCAUGGUUGCCUGCACACAUGUUAGAUGAAAAACGAAACAAAGAAAUAAGAAGAAGAGGAGGAGAAAAUGAAGUGGAAGGAAAAAACAAUGGGUACCAACCAAAACACCACAAAAAUUGGGAAAUGAAAGCUUUUUCUUGUCUAAGAAUAUGAUCUUCAAUGGACAAAACAAAUUGUCAAUAUUUUCAAUAUUCCCACAAACGAUCAACCAUUUUGUUGUUUUUUUUAUAAUAGCACAAAGGUAUAUAUAAAUAUAAAAAUGCCAAAAUAUCAUUGUGCCCAAAAAAUCUUUCAUGACUUGCCCAUUGAGAAAAAACCAAACAUUAGUACAUUUUAACAAAAUUUUACUGUAAUGUUUAGAUGCUUUUAUUUGUCUCAAGAAAAAUAGUUAGUCUUAUCCCAUGAAAUAUUUAAAGUGAAUCAAAUGGUGUAUAUGCAUUUUAAUAUAUUUGUUUUACCACUAAAAUCAGUCUCAAGCAUUUGUGCGUGCAUGUGAAAGCAUGAGACAUUGCCCUUUGGUGGCAAAUUUUAGCAUUUUUCCCAAGUUGCAUGAAGUACACAUGUUAGACGCUUUCACACUACACUGAUGAUAGCCCUUUUCACAUGGUAGAGUAUCUUCUACAUAAUUUUAGUUACAUAGUUCCAACUUACUCAUGGAUGACUUUCACACAUCAAUGUUGGUAGCUCUAUUAUUAAGAUGGAGCCUGAGACAAGAUAAAAAAUAUUAUAUACUCACACACCACAUACACAUAUUGAUUCAUAAAAAUAUUAAAUGGAUAGACCUAUCUAUUUUCAAUACCACUAAGCACAUUAACUAGAAAACUAACCAAGUAGUAAAAUAAUGUUAAAAACAAAUUUUUACAAUUUUCUCAAUUUGGACAAGAACAAGACAACUUUUGAGCAACACAGUGUCAAGGAUAUGACAAAAAACAACAACAACAAUAAUAAUAAUAAUAAUAAUUAAUUAGUACAAACCACCAAUGAUUUCUUGAGGGAAUCAAACUUGAUCGCAUCUAGGGAUUUUGUGAAAAUAUUUGCAAUUUUUUUGGCAAUCUCAACAUAUUUUAAGACCAAAGUUUUAUUUUCAACAAGUUCCCUUGUGUGUCGCGACACAUCAUCAACACAAAAACAUUUUUCAUGAGAAAUUUUCAAAUAUUUUCCCAAUCGACAUGGUUCACAUUUACCAAAAGAAUAUUUACUUAAAUCGGUAAAUCAUGAACAUGACUCACACUUCCAAUUUUUCUCAAAUUUUCAAAAUCCACAUGAUCGUGUUUUUCAUGACACAAAUUAGUAUCACUCCUUGUGUUUGUGUGACAGCUGUGUGAUUGAGAUAAUUUGUAAGAAUUAUCAACAAAUUUAUAACCCUUCAAAACACAAUUUCCAUCUCGGUCAAGCACAAAACAUUUAUCACGAGAAAAAUUUACAAACAAGUUUUGGUUACAAAUUUUACAUAUACUAAUUAGAUUAGCUUUAAGUCCAUCAACCAAAAGAACAUUUUGCAACUUUGGUAGUUCUUCAGAAUUUAGAGUGUCACUACCAAGUACCGUACAAGAUUUACCAUCUCCAAAUGUGACUUCCCCAUUUUUCAAAGUCUUGAAGUAAGUGAGUAUGCUUUUGUUACCCGUCAUAUGCCUAGAACAACCACUAUUGAAAUACUAAGAGUUAGAAGCACAUGCUCUAAGACAAGUAAAGGCAGCAAGACAUUUGAAUUUAUUUUUCUUCACCCAAACUUUCUUAGGUGGAGUCCUCUUCUUCAAGGGCAUUUGUCUCAAAUUAUCAUGAUGAUUAAAGUAGUUUUUUUGAAGAAAGUUCAUCAAGAUUAAGAAGAUGAGGUGACAUGAGUCUGAGUAGAACUUGCAGAAGGAUAAGUUGUCGAAACAACAGGAAGAUUUCCAGAAAUAAAAAUUGUUUUACCUUUAGGUUUAGAUCCAUUUGGUCCUAACCUAGAAAAAUCACAAGUUUUUUGACAUGCAAGCAGAACAUUAUCCAAAACCAUAGAUCUAUGAUUAAGCAUUUUGACACCUUUCACAAUUUGAUCAACUUCAUUAGACAAACGUUUGAUUUCAGAAUCUUUAGCAACAAUGUCAAUUUGAUAUUUUUUAACAAGAGAGUCAAGUUCUUCAUUUCUCUUUC